rnacentral:SRP_RNA from 20 species
GUGAACCGGGUCAGGUCCGGAAGGAAGCAGCCCUAAGC